rnacentral:rRNA from 1 species
UACGUAGGGUGCAGGCGUUAAUCGGAAUUACCGGGCGUAAAGCGUGCGCAGGCGGUUUCUUAAGUCAGAUGUGAAAGCCCCGGGCUUAACCUGGGAACUGCGUUUGAAACUGGGAGACUUGAGUGUGGCAGAGGGGGGUGGAAUUCCACGUGUAGCAGUGAAAUGCGUAGAUAUCAGGAAGAACACCCGUGGCGAAGGCGGCUCUCUGGGACGGUACUGACGCUGAGACGCGAAAGCGUGGGGAGCGAACAGG